GAAGACAACGGGCAAACCAGGCGAAAGCCUGGGGCGCAAAGCCAUGGGUCUAAGGUUCCCGUUGGGAACUAUGAUUGCCAGGCUGCUCAU
rnacentral:ncRNA from 2 species